rnacentral:rRNA from 1 species
CUAGCUGUAAACGGUGCACAUUUGCUGUGAGAGGAAUCGACCCUUCUCGUGGCGUAGCUAACGCGAUAAAUGUGCCGCCUGGGAAGUACGGUCGCAAGAUUAAAACUCAAAGAAAUUGACGGGGGCCUGCACAAGCGGUGGAGUAUGUGGCUUAAUUCGAUGCAACGCGAAGAACCUUACCUGGCCUUGACAUGCAGGGAUUAUUCGGGUGAAAGCCUGGAAAUUGCCGCAAGGUGUAACCUGCACAGGUGC